rnacentral:rRNA from 1 species
UACGUAGGGGGCAAGCGUUGUCCGGAUUUAUUGGGCGUAAAGAGCGUGUAGGCGGUCUGGUAGGUCCGUUGUGAAAACUCGAGGCUCAACCUCGAGACGCCGAUGGAAACCCUCAGACUAGAGUCCGGAAGAGGAGAGUGGAAUUCCCGGUGUAGCGGUGAAAUGCGUAGAUAUCGGGAAGAACACCCGUGGCGAAGGCGGCUCUCUGGGACGGUACUGACGCUGAGACGCGAAAGCGUGGGGAGCGAACAGG